rnacentral:rRNA from 1 species
AUUGAACGCUGGCGGCAUGCCUUACACAUGCAAGUCGAACGGUAACAGGUCUUCGGAUGCUGACGAGUGGCGAACGGGUGAGUAAUACAUCGGAACGUGCCUAGUAGUGGGGGAUAACUACUCGAAAGAGUGGCUAAUACCGCAUGAGAUCUACGGAUGAAAGCAGGGGAUCGCAAGACCUUGUGCUACUAGAGCGGCCGAUGGCAGAUUAGGUAGUUGGUGGGAUAAAAGCUUACCAAGCCGACGAUCUGUAGCUGGGCUGAGAGGACGAUCAGCAACACUGGGACUGAGAAACGGACCAGACUCCUACGGGAGGAGGCAGUGGGGAAUUUUGGACAAUGGGCGCAAGCCUGAUCCAGCAAUGCCGCGUGAAGGAUGAAGGCCUUCGGGUUGUAAACUGCUUUUGUACGGAACGAAAAGCCCCGGGUUAAUACCCUGGGGUCAUGACGGUACCGUAAGAAUAAGCACCGGCUAACUACGUGCCAGCCGCCGCCGUAA